CAAAUCCAUUACAGUAAAUUGACACUAAGUAUUUACAUUCCACAAAUGAGAAACACAUUUCCCUGUUAUUAAAUACAUAGAACAUUAUUCCAUAAUGCCUUUCAGCAAGACAUUCCACAAAUGAAGAACACAAAUGAAAGAAGCCAUAAAUGAAUCCAAAGAGCCAUUUUGGAUACAUACAUUAACAACCAUAUAUCGACAUCAUUACACAUCAUGAAAACAUCAAGACACACAAAAAGAAAGCACAAUCACGAGGAGCAGCAAUCAGGGCAACGAAUCAAGCCAUUCUCGUUACAUUCCAAGCACCGUUUAGGCACACCAUCAUCCUCAUCAAACACCUUCCGA
rnacentral:lncRNA from 1 species